rnacentral:rRNA from 1 species
UACGUAGGGGGCAAGCGUUGUCCGGAUUCAUUGGGCGUAAAGAGCGUGUAGGCGGCCAGGUAGGUCGGUUGUGAAAACUGGAGGCUCAACCUUCAGAGGUCGACCGAAACCAUCUGGCUAGAGUCCGGGAGAGGAGAGUGGAAUUCCGUGGUGUAGCGGUGAAAUGCGCAGAUAUCAGGAAGAACACCCGUGGCGAAAGCGGCUCUCUGGAACGGUACUGACGCUGAGACGCGAAAGCGUGGAGAGCGAACAGG